UACGGGGGGGCAAGCGUUGUUCGGAAUUACUGGGCGUAAAGGGUUCGUAGGUGGCCCGCUAAGUCAGACGUGAAAUCCCUCAGCUCAACUGGGGAACUGCGUCUGAGACUGGCGGGCUUGAGUGCAGGAGAGGAACGCGGAAUUCCAGGUGUAGCGGUGAAAUGCGUAGAUAUCUGGAGGAACACCGGUGGCGAAGGCGGCGUUCUGGACUGUUACUGACACUGAGGAACGAAAGCCAGGGGAGCAAACGGG
rnacentral:rRNA from 2 species